UACGGAGGGGUCUAGCGUUGUUCGGAAUUACUGGGCGUAAAGCGUGCGUAGACGGUUAUGUAAGUCGGGUGUGAAAGCCCCGGGCUCAACCUGGGAAUGGCAUUUGGGACUGCAAGGCUCGAGUGCGGCAGAGGAGACUGGAAUUCCUGGUGUAGCAGUGAAAUGCGUAGAUAUCAGGAGGAACACCGAUGGCGAAGGCAGGUCUCUGGGCUGACACUGACGCUAAUGCACGAAAGCGUGGGGAGCAAACAGG
rnacentral:rRNA from 1 species